CAGAGGGGGAUAACGUUUGGAAACGAACGCUAAUACCGCAUGAUAUUAUUGAGCCGCAUGGCUUGAUAAUCAAAGGAGCAAUCCGCUGAAAGAUGGGCUCGCGUCCGAUUAGGUAGUUGGCGGGGCAACGGCCCACCAAGCCGACGAUCGGUAGCCGGACUGAGAGGUUGAACGGCCACAUUGGGACUGAGACACGGCCCAGACUCCUACGGGAGGCAGCAGUGAGGGAUAUUGGUCAAUGGGGGAAACCCUGAACCAGCAACGCCGCGUGAGGGAAGACGGUUUUCGGAUUGUAAACCUCUGUCCUCUGUGAAGAUGAUGACGGUAGCAGAGGAGGAAGCUCCGGCUAACUACGUGCCAGCAGCCGCGGUAAUACGUAGGGAGCAAGCGUUGUCCGGAUUUACUGGGUGUAAAGGGUGCGUAGGCGGCUUUGCAAGUCAGAAGUGAAAUCCAUGGGCUUAACCCAUGAACUGCUUUUGAAACUGCAGAGCUUGAGUGGAGUAGAGGUAGGCGGAAUUCCCGGUGUAGCGGUGAAAUGCGUAGAGAUCGGGAGGAACACCAGUGGCGAAGGCGGCCUGCUGGGCUCUAACUGACGCUGAGGCACGAAAGCGUGGGUAGCAAACAGGAUUAGAUACCCUGGUAGUCCACGCUGUAAACGAUGAUUACUAGGUGUGGGUGGACUGACCCCAUCCGUGCCGGAGU
rnacentral:rRNA from 1 species